CACGUAGGGGGCAAGCGUUGUCCGGAUUCAUUGGGCGUAAAGAGCUCGUAGGCGGUUCGAUAAGUCGGGUGUGAAACCUCCAGGCUCAACCUGGAGACGCCACCCGAUACUGUCGUGACUAGAGUCCAGUAGGGGAGCGUGGAAUUCCUGGUGUAGCGGUGAAAUGCGCAGAUAUCAGGAGGAACACCAGCGGCGAAGGCGGCGCUCUGGGCUGGAACUGACGCUGAGGAGCGAAAGCAUGGGGAGCGAACAGG
rnacentral:rRNA from 1 species